UCAGCGCCCCAUCCCUAACUGCCUCCAACCCAUUUCUCAUUGCUGGGCCCCACUUUCCCAUUCCCCCACUCCCACAGUCCAUCCCCAGGGUUCCUCAUCUUCAAUCUCUGCUACACCCAAACCUGCCAGGUUCCCCUUUUCAACCACUGUGGGGUUGUCCAACCCGCCGCCACCCAUCCACUCUGGGCUCUCUAAAUCCCACAUUCCCACAAUGCUCCUUUGUAACCCCACCCUCCUCUAUCCCUAAUCCCCCUAUUCCCUUCCCUUAGGUCCUCCUGGACACCCCAACCCACAGUCAGGCCUCCACAUACAUCCCAGUCAUUCACAUGCUGAGCUAGUUCUUCAGGGACCCCCACAGCCCAGCAAACUUCUCCAUCCAUGAGCCCCAUGGACCUGUGGCCGGGAAGAGCUGAGGACAGACAGGUCUGAGGAGCAGAGCAGGAGCUCUGGGAAGGAGAAGAGCAAUAUGAAGAUGGAGUGUAAGAUGAGGCCAGGUAACUUCUGUGGAGGGAGACAUGCUGGACAGGGCCUAGGAUUGGGGAGACAAGCAGGUGUGAGCCCCGGGCUCAGAUUUCUAAUUAUAGCUGUGAUGACAGAAUGGGAGGAGGGUUG